AUCCAGCUGACGAGUCCCAGAUGGGAAGAAACGCGCGUCCUGGAU
rfam:Schistosoma mattheei strain Denwood, Zambia genome assembly, scaffold: SMTD_scaffold0004060